rnacentral:tRNA from 1 species
AAGUAAGAAGCGAUUAAUUGCGUUCAGUUUCGACCUGAUUUUAGGCUUAGGCCCUUAUUUA